UACGUAGGGUCCGAGCGUUGUCCGGAAUUAUUGGGCGUAAAGGGCUCGUAGGCGGUUUGUCGCGUCGGGAGUGAAAACUCAGGGCUCAACCCUGAGCGUGCUUCCGAUACGGGCAGACUAGAGGUAUGCAGGGGAGAACGGAAUUCCUGGUGUAGCGGUGAAAUGCGCAGAUAUCAGGAGGAACACCGGUGGCGAAGGCGGUUCUCUGGGCCUGACCUGACGCUGAGGAGCGAAAGCGUGGGGAGCGAACAGG
rnacentral:rRNA from 1 species